GCUUAGGGGACACCGUCCCAGCAGACACCCAGGUUCCCCGUGUCCCAUGCACUCGGGGGACACUUUGCCUGUGACACCCCAGGUUCCCUGCGUCCCAUAUGCUCAGGGGACACCAUCCCAGCAGACACCUCAGGUUCCCCACAUCCCAUACACUCAGGGGACACUGUCCCUGUGACACCCCAGGUUCCCCGCGUCCUGUGCACUCAGGGCACACCGUCCCUGUGACACUCCAGGUUCCCCGCGUCCCGUG